UACGUAGGUGGCAAGCGUUACUCGGAAUCACUAGGCGUAAAGCGCAGGUAGGCGGUUCGGUAAGUCUCCUGUGAAAGCUCCCGGCUCAACUGGGAGAGGUCAAGGGAAACUACCGGGCUAGAGUGCGGCAGAGGAAGCUGGAAUUCCCGGUGUAGCGGUGAAAUGCGUAGAGAUCGGGAGGAAUACCUAUGGCGAAAGCAGGCUUCUGGGCCGUCACUGACACUGAUCUGCGAAAGCUAGGGGAG
rnacentral:rRNA from 1 species